rnacentral:rRNA from 1 species
UACGGAGGAUGCAAGCGUUAUCCGGAAUGAUUGGGCGUAAAGCGUCCGCAGGUGGCAAUGUAAGUCUGCUGUUAAAGAGUCUAGCUCAACUAGAUAAAAGUAGUGGAAACUACAUAGCUAGAGUACGUUCGGGGCAGAGGGAAUUCCUGGUGUAGCGGUGAAAUGCGUAGAUCAGGAAGAACACCAGUGGCGAAGGCGCUCUGCUAGGCCGUAACUGACACUGAGGGACGAAAGCUAGGGGAGCGAAUGGG